AAAAUAAUUUUUGAAACAUUUUGGAAACUGACAAUUAAAUAUUGACUCAACAAAUUGCUUUCAAAUAAUUAUCCCCAAACAAAAAGAUGCAUUGGGGUAAUUUUAGCUUAUGGUCCAAAGGUAAAAUUAAAAAUAUAUAUUCUCUGAACAUAUUAAAUUGUGUUCAGCCAAUUAAUCAAGUACAAGUGAAAUAUCUGUGUUUGCUGAACAAGCCUUGCGGAGAAAAAAACGCACCUGAGAGAAACCGUUGGUAAUGGUAUAGUAGUGGAUUCAAAUAUAUCUGCGCGGGAGAGAUGAGGAGACUGGGGAGUCGAUGCUGAAGUACGACGACAGAAGUUAAGACAUCAUUUCCAAACAGAUUUUUCUUCAUUUAAGUUAUGCCAAACAUCCUAGGUCUGACUAAACGGAACGACUAACGUAAUGACUUUCACAGUUUAGAAGAAGUCCAUGCAGUGCUGCUUCUGCAAGUAUUCAUCACCUCACCAAGACCUAAUUUUCAAGCACUACAGAACUUGCAAUUGGUCAGUUAAUGCAACUUCCUUUCCAUGUUUACACCUAGAAUGUGUUUGCAUUUUCAAGACAAUUGGAGCUUUAAAAACAAAUUUGUGGAGGGUACAUCCAAAGACUGGCAAC